rnacentral:rRNA from 1 species
GGCUCAGGAUGAACGCUGGCGGCGUGCCUAAUACAUGCAAGUCGAGCGAACGGACGAGAAGCUUGCUUCUCUGAUGUUAGCGGCGGACGGGUGAGUAACACGUGGAUAACCUACCUAUAAGACUGGGAUAACUUCGGGAAACCGGAGCUAAUACCGGAUAAUAUUUUGAACCGCAUGGUUCAAAAGUGAAAGACGGUCUUGCUGUCACUUAUAGAUGGAUCCGCGCUGCAUUAGCUAGUUGGUAAGGUAACGGCUUACCAAGGCAACGAUGCAUAGCCGACCUGAGAGGGUGAUCGGCCACACUGGAACUGAGACACG